rnacentral:piRNA from 1 species
UGAGCAAAUCCCCAGUUUGAGCCUUGAGC